rnacentral:lncRNA from 1 species
GUCUUGGAACGCACGAACAAAACGCCGCAAUUUGGAUAUAACGAUGGAUUAUUUCGGACCAAACCAACAUUUGUUAUUGAAGUAGAAGUCCUGGGAGUGCAUUCUGACGAAGACAACAAAGGAGGAGGACCGAUCAGAGUCUAAAGCCAGCCCCGAGGAGGAGUUAACCAGAGAGAAUGGCCCGAGAUUCAAGUAGAACUGAGCCCAGACAGUACAUGGCCAAAUGUGCUGAGUUGCAGGAGGAGGGUUCUGCCUAGCAGUUUCUGGCUCAGGCCAGUGAGACUUUAGCGCAGGCCAUCAGCCUCUCUCUGCAACACAAACCCC